UAAUACUUUUUUUUUAAUAAUGUUUAUUUUUUUUAAAAUUUCACUUUUAAUGAGACAUUUUUGUUGUAUCCACUUUAUUGAACAGCAACACUAAAGUUCAUCAGGAAACAAUGGAAAGAGAUCAGGAUUGCAACUUUGGUUGCUGCAAUAACGAGUUUGAACACAAGGACUCUCUUUUCCUGACAAGUCUCUAUUUGGAUAAGAGACCUUUCAAGUAUAAAUUUGGAUGGGCAAUUCGGUGCUUCCAACUUUGCAGAAACGGGGUGUGGCCAGGCUCUAAGCUUCAAGAGGACCUUCUAAAAGUUCCGGUUUUCUGAACAUUGUAUCCUGUGUGUAAGAGACCUCUCUUCAGUCAAGUCUGGACCCAGUCAGACGCCAGUCUUAAAGAUAAUUGAUGAGAGAUCAUGCCAGUCCAUAUUGAAAUAGUGAAUACAUGCAAGACUUCAAGCAGUACUACAUUUCAAGUUUGGAACAUACACAGUCCUGUGUCUUCUGUCAAGUGUGGGCUCAAUACUAUUGUUCAACCAGAGCAAGCAGCCCUGAUGGAUGUACAGUAUAUGUCUUCAUUGAUUAUCCUUACUUUUAUAUAUGGACACAUUUUAUUUCCAACAUCAACACGCCUUUGUGAGUACACUGGUCAAGUUAUUGGAUCAGCUCAAACUGUUUUAACACAGUCCCUGUAUGUAGUUUCAUUAAAAUCUAAUAAUUAUAGUUUGUGCCUUCAGUUGCUAUAGACUGUAUUUACUAGUUCAUUUUGCAAUUUCAAAAACCUGAUUGAUUGUUGUAAAAUCUGUGGCAAACAACUGUAAUGUCUUUUGUGUUUUACCGUGUUUUUUACGGUAAAGUUCUGGCAACCACAGCUGCCGGUAAUUUUCUGUAAAA